rnacentral:rRNA from 1 species
UACGUAGGCAGCAAGCGUUGUUCGGAGUUACUGGGCGUAAAGAGUGCGUAGGUGGUGCCCUAAGUCUGUUGUGAAAUCUCCCGGCUUAACUGGGAGGGUGCGGUGGAAACUGGGGUGCUUGAGUGUGGGAGAGGUAAGCGGAAUUCCUGGUGUAGCGGUGAAAUGCGUAGAUAUCAGGAGGAACACCGGUGGCGAAGGCGGGUCUCUGGGCAGUAACUGACGCUGAGGAGCGAAAGCGUGGGGAGCAAACAGG